UGAGGAACAUGACUUUCGGCGGGGGAUAGCCGGCCCAACGGCCGGGUAGUACCGCGUACGACCUUUUGGGGACAUCCCCGAUUGGUGAAAGCAGCAAUGCGCCGAAAGAGUGCCUCGCGGCCUAUCAGCUAGUUGGUGGGGUAAUGGCUCACCAAGGCGACGACGGGUAGCUGGUCUGAGAGGAUGGCCAGCCACAUUGGGACUGAGACACGGCCCAGACUCCUACGGGAGCAGCAGG
rnacentral:rRNA from 1 species